CAGUCGCCGCGGUAAUACGUAGGUGGCAAGCGUUGUCCGGAAUUAUUGGGCGUAAAGGGCUCGCAGGCGGUUUCUUAAGUCUGAUGUGAAAGCCCCCGGCUCAACCGGGGAGGGUCAUUGGAAACUGGGAAACUUGAGUGCAGAAGAGGAGAGUGGAAUUCCACGUGUAGCGGUGAAAUGCGUAGAGAUGUGGAGGAACACCAGUGGCGAAGGCGACUCUCCGGUCUGUAACCGACGCUGAGGAGCGAAAGCGUGGGGAGCGGACAGGAUUAGAGACCCCCGUAGUCCCUGUCUCUUAUAC
rnacentral:rRNA from 1 species